GCUGUCAUUUAUAUCGGCAAAAAUUUACAAAAUACACAAAAUGGAACAUUGAUUUUAUACGCUUCAACGAUUCGGAUAAAAACAGUUUGAAUGCGAGAAGGUAGUUGUGUGUGUGUGUGUGUUUAUAUUAUAUAGUAGAUAUUCGGUGAAGGUAUAUGCGAGAAGGUAGUUGUGUGUGUGUGUGUUUAUAUUAUAUAGUAGAUAUUCGGUGUAAAAUUAACACGAGAACAAGAAAAAAAUCGUCCAAAAUUAUUUACACAAGAACACUCAAACUAGAUUAAAAAAAAAACUA